AGGUGAGGUAGAGGCGCGGUCCCUAUUAGUACUAUACAGAGCCUGGGGAGGCUGGGAAGUAUAGGAAAGGAGUUGCCGCCGAAGUGCAGUUAGUCCCUUACUUACUGUGCUGGGUCUGCAUCCGAACAGGUGCAGGACUGUCAUCAAGGGAAGUAUCCGCCCCUUGAUGGAGUGCUAUCUCACGA
rnacentral:ncRNA from 2 species